rnacentral:rRNA from 1 species
UAAGGAAUAUUGGACAAUGGACGCAAGUCUGAUCCAGCCAUGCCGCGUGAAGGAUGAAUGCCCUCUGGGUUGUAAACUUCUUUUAUAGGGGAAGAAAGAUACUUUUUUUAAGGUAGUUGACGGUACCCUAUGAAUAAGCACCGGCUAACUCCGUGCCAGCAGCCGCGGUAAUACGGAGGGUGCAAGCGUUAUCCGGAUUUACUGGGUUUAAAGGUGCGUAGGCGGGCAUGUAAGUCAGUGGUGAAAUACCGGAGCUUAACUUCGGAACUGCCAUUGAUACUAUAUGUCUUGAAUAUUGUGGAGGUAAGCGGAAUAUGUCAUGUAGCGGUGAAAUGCAUAGAUAUGACAUAGAACACCGAUUGCGGAGGCAGCUUGCUACGCAAAUAUUGACGCUGAGGCACGAAAGCGUGGGGAUCAAACA